AGCAAGUAUAUUGUUGGAAUCCCAUUUGAGGGGAUCCACUUCGCAUACACCCAUCCUCUAUUACCUGUUUCUCAGUUCUCCAGUCUUAAAAACUGUGCAAUCUCUCAUUCAUAGGUAGAAAAACAAGGCUGAUGACAGUUGUGAGUAUUGAAUAACCUCCAAGGGAUAUGGUCACCAGGUGGAAGAACUCUGUCAUAGACUGUUGCUGUUAUUGAUGAGGAUGUUUGUGAUAACAAGAAGACUCUUUGGAGAGUGGUUGGGAGAAGCACUGUGCAAAUGCGGGAGCUGAUGGUCAUCUGGCUAAUGUUCUAGAAUAUUCUGCAGCCCCUAUCCUUGGCGAACGUCUGGAACAAUUCCUCCAGGUUGCAGACAUCACCUGGAGAAAACAAUAAGUGAGGAAACCGAAUGAACUUGCAAAGAAGAGGUGUGGGCUUUGUCCUCCAAGUGGAUUGAUUUUCGGGACCACACACCGUGAAUGCAAUCAGCCGGUCUCAGCUUAAACAUCGUGGCAGUGAAAUCUUCCUUGACUCGUCCAGGCUGGGC